UACGGGGGGGGUAAGCGUUGUUCGGAAUUACUGGGCGUAAAGGGCUCGUAGGCGGCCAACUAAGUCAGACGUGAAAUCCCUCAGCUUAACUGGGGAACUGCGUCUGAUACUGGAUGGCUUGGAUUCGGGAGAGGAAUGCGGAAUCCCAGGUGUAGCGGUGAAAUGCGUAGAUAUCUGGAGGAACACCGGUGGCGAAGGCGGCAUCCUGGACCAACACUGACGCUGAGUGAGCGAAAGCCAGGGGAGCAAACGGG
rnacentral:rRNA from 1 species